rnacentral:rRNA from 1 species
UACGUAGGGUGCGAGCGUUAAUCGGAAUUACUGGGCGUAAAGCGUGCGUAGGCGGUUCUCCAAGUCCGUUGUGAAAGCCCCGGGCUCAACCUGGGAAUGGCAGUGGAAACUAGGGGACUGGAAUCUGGCAGAGGGGGGUGGAAUGCCGCGUGUAGCAGUGAAAUGCGUGGAGAUGCGGCGGAACACCGAUGGCGAAGGCAGCCCCCUGGGCUGAGAUUGACGCUCAGGCACGAAAGCGUGGGGAGCAAACAGG